GAAAUGAAAUUUUUUUUCUGGUGUCCAAGACACCUUCUUUGCCCCACUCCAGGGAACUUGCUGAGCUGGUUCCCCUGAGUUGCCCAUCAUGGACUUGCCCCUGCCUCUUGGUCCCCAAGCCCAGAGCUGCCUGUUUCCUGGUUAGGUACCUGCAUUUGGGGACUUAAGCUUAGGCCUGUCCUGACUACCUGCAGGACCCCUGGGACGCUACCCAAGCCUCGUCCCCUGUCCCUGUUCCCUGCCUCUGCAGAUGGCGUCACCAGCCACCCCAGCUCUGGAGCUAGAAUUAGGAGUCAUCCAACACACAGUCAUUCUCAACACCUCCCUCUCACCUCCCCACGGAAUUGGUCAUCAACUCCCAUGGGUUUCGCCCGAGAAGGAUCCCCAGGCACGCAGCUCAGCCCCCACUGGCAGCAUCAGCAUCCUGGGGCACAACCUGGUAUUCAUGGAUCCCCUCCACCCUCCAGUCCACACUGCACCCACCAACACCAGAGAGAUCUUUCUAGAAUAGACUGGAUCGCUCAGAAUCCUCCCUUCAGAUCACCUUCGGAUAAAAUGCUGACACUUCUAUGUGGCCUCCCUGUUCCACAUCCUUCCACAUUCCCAGUUCGGCCCACACCAAGCCAGUCCCUGCUGACCAGCUCCAGCCUUUCCCUUCCCCUACUCUUUGCUAAAAAUCCCCAUUUCCCUCUGGGCCUGCUCCCACCACCUCCUCCUUCUCUGAGAAGCCCUCCUUCCUUUCUCUUCCACUAAUAAAUUAUAACUCGGCCUCCCAGCAGUUUCCAUUGGCGUUUAUCUGCUCUGGUAAUCACUUCCCUAGACUUGGAGCUUCUGGAGGGCACUAGUUGGUCUUGUCCAUCUCUGGAGGCCCAGCCUUGUUAUGUUAGCCAGAAUAAUUUGCCCAGUUCAGGACUGAUUGAGUUGAAAUGACAGAAAAGACUGUGAAUGCCAGCUCUGUUCCCAGGCCCCUGUUCCUAUGGCCUCACCAUCCCCCAGUCCACCCCCAGCCUUCUCCCUUUCUACUUCUCCCCAAGUCUCCCUCCUACCUGCUGCCCUCAGCACAGUGGGGAGUCAGGCUGGGGUGCUAUCUGGGUCCGUGACAGCCACUAGAGGAGAGUGAGACCCUGGUCUUUCCUCAGGCCAGAGAGUUCACCAAGCAGGCCGUGGCCCUGGUUGGUGUCCUCCGCCGCGGUGGUGAGCAGCCUCGGAUUUUAAUGCGGGCCUUAGUGCUUCAGUGAAAGCCGGCAUGGGAAGUUGCUAAUAAUG